AGUGAACGCUGGCGGUAUGCCUAACACAUGCAAGUCGAACGGCCACAUAGUAAGAUCUUGCUCUUACCGUUAGCGACUGUCGGGCGGGUAAGGCAUACAUCGCAAUCUUCUUUUUCUGGGGUGAUUACGUAGGACAACUUCCGCUAAUACCUCACACGACCUACCGCUUAAUUCAAGAGUUAUUCGUACCUUUCCCGUUUCAUAUAGCCGAUGUCGCAUUAGCUAGGUGGCUGGGUAAGGGCCCACCAAGGCGACGCUCCGUAGCUGGUCUGAGAGGAUGAUCAGCCACACUGGAACUGAGACACGGUCCAGACUCCUACGGGAGGCAGCAGUGGGGAAUAUUGGACAAUGGGCGCAAGCCUGAUCCAGCAAUACCGCGUGGGUGAAGAAGGGCUUCGGGUCGUAAAGCUCUUUUGUUGGGAAAGAAAAGCAGUAGAUUAAUCCCCCGCUGUUCUGACGGUACCCAAUGAGUAAGCACCGGCUAACUUCGUG
rnacentral:rRNA from 1 species